rnacentral:rRNA from 1 species
CUUGGUCAUUUAGAGGAAGUAAAAGUCGUAACAAGGUUUCCGUAGGUGAACCUGCGGAAGGAUCAUUAUCGAGUUUUGAUGUGGGUUUGAUGCUGGCCUUUCGAGGCAUGUGCUCGCCCCGCUCAAUCCACUCUACACCUGUGAACCAUUGAGGUGCUGCCCUCCAAUUUGGAGCAGCUUCCCUUUUGACCUCCCUCUGGGAGGACGAGAGGUGAGGCCGGGGUGACACCUCUACUUACAAACACUUAAAGUAUAACAGAAUGUAACCGCCAGCAAUGGCAAAACAAAUACAACUUUCAACAACGGAUCUCUUGGCUCUCGCAUCGAUGAAGAACGCAGCGAAAUGCGAUAAGUAAUGUGAAUUGCAGAAUUCAGUGAAUCAUCGAAUCUUUGAACGCACCUUGCGCUCCUUGGUAUUCCGAGGAGCAUGCCUGUUUGAGUGUCAUGAAAUUAUCAACUUCACAAGCUUUUUGUGAGCAUGUGAAGCUUGGACUUGGGGGUUGCUGGCCUUUAUUGGUCGGCUCCUCUUGAAUGCAUUAGCUGGACUUUCUGAUCACAGAGCGGUUCACGGUGUGAUAAUUAUCUACGCCAUGGUAAGCCCGUCUCUGAGUUCUGGUCGAGCUCAUAAUCGUCCUCGGACACUUUUCAAAUCUGACCUCAAAUCAGGUAGGACUACCCGCUGAACUUAAGCAUAUCAAUAAGCGGAGGA